rnacentral:rRNA from 1 species
CCUACGGGCGGCAGCAGUGAGGAAUAUUGGUCAAUGGCCGGAAGGCUGGCCCAGCCAAGUCGCGUGAGGGAAGACUGCCCUAUGGGUUGUAAACCUCUUUUAUAAGGGAAGAAUAAAUGCUACGUGUAGCAUGAUGCCUGUACCUUAAGAAUAAGCAUCGGCUAACUCCGUGCCAGCAGCCGCGGUAAUACGGAGGAUGCGAGCGUUAUCCGGAUUUAUUGGGUUUAAAGGGUGUGUAGGCGGUUUUUUAAGUUAGUGGUUAAACGUCGGGGCUUAAACUUAGUUUGCCAUUAAUACUGUAAGACGCGAGUGCAGACGAGGUAGGCGGAAUGAG